GACGAACGCUGGCGGCGUGCCUAAUACAUGCAAGUAGAACGCUGAAGGAGGAGCUUGCUCUUCUGGAUGAGUUGCGAACGGGUGAGUAACGCGUAGGUAACCUGCCUGGUAGCGGGGGAUAACUAUUGGAAACGAUAGCUAAUACCGCAUAACAGUAGAUGUUGCAUGACAUUUGCUUAAAAGGUGCAAUUGCACCACUACCAGAUGGACCUGCGUUGUAUUAGCUAGUUGGUGGGGUAACGGCUCACCAAGGCGACGAUACAUAGCCGACCUGAGAGGGGGAUCGGCCACACUGGGACUGGGACACGGCCCAGACUCCUACGGGAGGCAGCAGUAGGGAAUCUUCGGCAAUGGACGGAAGUCUGACCGAGCAACGCCGCGUGAGUGAAGAAGGUUUUCGGAUCGUAAAGCUCUGUUGUAAGAGAAGAACGAGUGUGAGAGUGGAAAGUUCACACUGUGACGGUAUCUUACCAGAAAGGGACGGCUAACUACGUG
rnacentral:rRNA from 1 species